rnacentral:rRNA from 1 species
AGAGUUUGAUCCUGGCUCAGGAUGAACGCUGGCGGCGUGCCUAACACAUGCAAGUCGAACGGGGACAGACGGAAACCUAGUGAAGUCUGUCCGAGUGGCGGACGGGUGAGUAACGCGUGGAUAACCUGCCGCAUGCAGGGGGAUACCGGCUGGAAACAGCCGCUAAUACCGCAUAAGCGCACGGUGCCGCAUGGCAGAGUGCGAAAAGGAGAAAUCCGGCAAGCGAUGGAUCCGCGUCCGAUUAGCCAGUUGGCGGGGUAAGGGCCCACCAAAGCGACGAUCGGUAGCCGGCCUGAGAGGGCGGACGGCCACAUUGGGACUGAGACACGGCCCAGACUCCUACGGGGGGCAGCAGUGGGGGAUAUUGCACAAUGGGGGAAACCCUGAUGCAGCGACGCCGCGUGGGUGAAGAAGUAUUUCGGUAUGUAAAGCCCUAUCAGCAGGGAAGAAAGAAGACGGUACCUGACUAAGAAGCCCCGGCUAACUACGUG